rnacentral:misc_RNA from 1 species
UGGCUCUCGCAUCGAUGAAGAACGCAGCGAAAUGCGAUAAGUAAUGUGAAUUGCAGAAUUCAGUGAAUCAUCGAAUCUUUGAACGCACCUUGCACCCUUUGGUAUUCCAAAGGGUAUGCCUGUUUGAGUGUCUUUACAUCCUCAACAUCCACCCGUUUUGGGCUGGCUUGUUGGUCGUGAGUGCUGCGGGCGCAAGCCGGCUCGCUUUAAAUGGAUGAGUCGUCUGGCAUUGUCCCUACAAACGUGAUAGUUAUUUCGUUUUGGCGCGUGUUUAGAGGGCUUUCUAACUGGAACGGGAACGGGAGGGCGUGGUUUACUGCACCCUCGGUUCCGUUCAACUUUUACACCCAGACCUCAAAUCAGGUAGGACUACCCGCUGA